GUAUCAGAUUCCGAACCUGUAGUCCCGCUACAUCUGGUCUCUCUUAUGGAGGACCUUGGAAGGAGUAAGUGUAAUGGUGAAAAUUUGGGAAGAAGUUCCUCUGUGCCACAAAAUAUCCAUGUUCUUGGGGGUCAGAAAUUCUCUAGCGGUUCACUUCUACCGGAGCAUGUUCUUUCACCAUACAAGCACAUCACUGGAGAUGUAGAGAGGGAUCAGAG
rnacentral:misc_RNA from 1 species